rnacentral:rRNA from 1 species
GACGAACGCUGGCGGCGUGCCUAAUACAUGCAAGUAGAACGCUGAAGGAGGAGCUUGCUUCUCUGGAUGAGUUGCGAACGGGUGAGUAACGCGUAGGUAACCUGUCUGGUAGCGGGGGAUAACUAUUGGAGACGAUAGCUAAUACCGCAUAACAGCAGAUAUCGCAUGAUAUCUACUUGAAAGGUGCAAUUGCAUCACUACCAGAUGGACCUGCGUUGUAUUAGCUAGUUGGUGAGGUAACGGCUCACCAAGGCGACGAUACAUAGCCUACCUGGGAGGGUGAUCGGCCACACUGGGACUGAAGCACGGCCCAGAAGCCUACGGGAGGCAGCAGUAGGGAAUCUUCGGCAAUGGGCGGAAGUCUGACCGAGCAACGCCGCAUGAGUGAAGAAGGUUUUCGGAUCGUAAAGCUCUGUUGUAAGAGAAGAACGAGUGUGAGAGUGGAAAGUUCACACUGUGACGGUAUCUUACCAGAAAGGGACGGCUAACUACGUG